rnacentral:ncRNA from 2 species
GUUUUCCUUCGGGGCAGGGUGAAAUUCCCAACCGGCGGUGAUAAAGCAGAUGCUUUUCAGUCCGUGACCCGGCUGCACAGUGUGCAGGCGGUGGAUCCAGUGAAAUUCUGGAGCCGACAGUAUAGUCUGGAUGGGAGAAGGAACAC